GAUGAACGCUGACAGAAUGCUUAACACAUGCAAGUCGAUGGGGAAGUGGUGCUUGCACCAUGGUAACCAUGGCGGACGGGUGAGUAACGCGUAAGGAACUUGCCUGCGGGACUGGGAUAACAGCAGGAAACUGCUGAUAAUACCGGAUAAGGUCAUUAAGCUGCAUAGCUUAGUGAUGAAAGGAGACGCCUGCGGAGAGCCUUGCGUCCUAUUAGCUAGUUGGAGGGGUAACGGCCCACCAAGACGAAGAUAGGUAGCCGGCCUGAGAGGGUGGACGGCCACAAGGGGACUGAGAUACGGCCCUUACUCCUACGGGAGGAAGCAGUGGGGAAUAUUGGACAAUGGGGGCAACCCUGAUCCAGCAAUUCUGUGUGCACGAAGACGGUUUUCGGAUUGUAAAGUGCUUUCAGCAGGGAAGAAGGAAGUGACGGUACCUGAAGAAGAAGCGACGGCUAAAUACGUG
rnacentral:rRNA from 1 species